UCCAAUUAUUUAAAAUCUCCUAAAUUAUAUCACUUUUACUUCUUUACAUUACACUACUUUUUCCCAUUAUUCUGAUUUCAACGAUCUCUUUGUUUUUGUGUGGUUUUUGUUGUCAUUUCCGGGUUUUUCUCCAACAAAAAUGAAUGAUUAUGAUGAAAAAUUUAUGGAUGACUUCCACUGUCCAGUCCUAGCAAAAGAGAGGUAUUAGCAAUACUGGAUAAAAAUGACAAUGGUCUAACCCGAUCAGCAAGACCUUCCCUCAAACCAACUUAUCAACUGAUCCUCAGUCUGAACAAAGAUCUGGUGGUCUCCGCGACAGAGUGGCUGCAAGACUAUGAUUUAAUAUUCCACCGCUCAAGAUAGAGAGUGUCAGUCCAUUUGCUAAUUCUUUCAGGAACCUGAUUCUUGUUCCUUCUCCUAUCCUCGUAAUAUAUCAAGGAUUCAGUCUCCUUCCAUUGUUGCGAUCUCAAAAUCUGUUCUCUAACUCUUCUUCACAGAUUAUCCCUCUGUGUCCAAUCCCUAAUAAAGCUCUUCCGGAGAAUGGUGGAAACUUCAGGUGAUGCCCAUGCUAAGAUGAUGAUAUCCAAACAACAAUCUUCCCCAUCAGCCAGUGGUCGUUGAUCUGCCUCCUCAAGGAAGUAAUACAGUUUUCAAUGAGUUUGCUUCCAGUUUAGAUUUUUUGAAUAUUAUUGUUGUUUUUACAAGUAAAACAGGCUCUGAUGAAACGGAAGAGUCUAUUUAUAUCUGGUGAAUCUAAUGCUGAUCUUAUUGGUGGUCCUUUAGUCCCUCCUUUUGACAAUGAAUUUGUUGCUUAAACCGAUGUUAUGAACCUCAUAUUCUUUUGAAGUGUAGCAAAGACGAUGUCAAGGAGAGAGAAUACAACCCAAGAGGAAGGCAACUCGAAGAUCACAACGUUUUUGUAGAACCUCCAUCUCGAAACAGAAGGGGGAAAAUCGCCACCUGUCUCAUCAUUAAAACAUACUUUCGAAACUAUUCUUAAUGGGUUGUUGUAGGGGCCAUUGAAACAAGUGAUAUUACGAGGUAAGAUAAUCUCUUUAUGCAAUUAGCUGGUCCACAUCGGUUCAAGAUUUUUCCGUUACGAUUGAAUCAGAGUUUCGCCUGAGAAGAAGACGAACCCUAAUCCGCUGAUACUUUCGUCGUGUUUUUCAUUGGCUCAGUUGGUACAUGAUUUUUUCACCAUAAUUUGUCAGAAAAAUCGGCAGUCAGCUAACUCGAAAAUGCCGUGUAAGAAAAACCGCCUCUGUUUCCUCCGGUCAGCUUCUUCCAUAAGAGGAAGCGUAUCGGCGAGUGCGGAGAGAAAAAACAGAGGGCUGAUGGGUAUUACGCAUAAGAAAAACGCCACCGUUGAAGAUAAGAAAAUUUCCAUGGCCGCAGCUUCAGUCAUUAAUGGCAGCAGAAGGAAAUCACUUGGUGGGAGGACAUCACUUGGUGGUUUCGGGUUUGUUUGUGUUACGGCCCCCUGCUGAUCAAUACUGAUCACUUCUUAUCAUUGAGAAUGGUUUGUGUGUAGCAUGAAGCUAUGCAGAAAAGCUAAAAGCUUUUCAAAAUAUAAGGAGAAGCUGAAAAAUCUGGAGAUUGACAGAGAACGUAUUGCCUCUGAUUCCAUACAGCCAUUGACUGAAACGUUAUUAGCUAGCUUGGAAGCACCGACUCAAGAAGACAAGCAUUAGGCUCACAAGCCAAAGAUCCUAAGCUGAGUCAGUCAUGCUUAUGCAUUUCUCUGCUGUUUUAACCUUUAAACAUAUACAUACUUCAAAACUCUAACUUUUUGUGCAAUUCACUAUGAUAUGUGCAGCUCAUUUUUAAGGCACAUUUACCUAUCUACAUGGACACUAGAUCAGAGAACCAACCAGAGUCAGACAAGUCAAACCAGAGUUUGGUUCUUAUCUCAUGCUUGAGGCAGCACACAGAGGAACGAGGAAAAUAAUUCCUUAGCUGGAAACUGGACAACACAAGGUUUUUAUCGACAAAGAAGAAUGUAUAGAGUAAGUGAAAAUAUCAAAGUUAUCUUCUUACCCCCUUUUCACCUUAGAAUUGAGCGGGAAGAAAGAUUAAAACAUCUCAUCAUCAUCAAAUUCUCUGCCGUUUGAUGAUGACCUUGAGAUUAAGGAGUAGUUACAUGAAUCAAGUUUCUGUGGAGGAUGAUGUGGUCUACAAUGCAGUGGUUGAAGUUUUAGGCAGAUCGGUUGAAACUAUUAUAUACUAUUUUGUAUGUAUCUCAAACAUAUUUCAAUUUCAAACAAUAAUAUAUUCAAAUAUAAAAUU